UCAAACUACUGAUUUUGUAUUGUUAGUUCAUUGAAGACUAAGUACCAAUCAGAAAAAUUAGUAAAAGAUUUUAAAGAGCCACAACAUGAAAUUUUUUUAUAUUUUUUUAUGACAAAAAUGUACUCAAUAUAUCGAGUCAUGCAAUUGUUGAAUGUAAAAUUAUGGCUUCCUGUUAUAAGGUUGCUUUAUCACAGUUAUAAACGUCAGACACUGCAUUUUGAAUUUUGAUGAGCAUUGAUUUUUUUAAGUCAGAUUUGCCAAUAUCGUUUGUUUUAUAGAUAUUUAGAUAUGCCAAACUUUGCCAUUAAUUAUUAUGAUUUUUUUCUUGCUUAAGUAGACAUGUUGUCGCGGUUGGCAUUCAGACUGUUUUGUUGCUGUCUCCCACUUGUUCUUUUAAAAUAUCAAACAUAUUCAAUAUUUUUUUCAAUUUUUCUGGCUAUAGAAAAAGUUCAGAUUCAUUGAAUUGAAAGCAGAUCUUGAACAUGUGAUUCGUCCAACUCUGGUUAACUCUAGUUGAAAGGUCAGUGCAAUGCGCAUGUGCUCAACCGUUCCGAAUCGAAGUCAAACUCUUCCAUCGAGUUGACUAUUUAUAAUGGAGGUGAAAAAAAUUGUUUUUCUGCUGGCAUUAAAUAAAAAAAUAUUACAUAGUGUUUCACAAAGAAAGUCCUGAUCCUGUUUGCUUUUGAAAAAUAGUUUGUUAGUGAGUUCAAAAAAAAAAAUGAAAAAAAAUCGUUCAAAGAAAAACUAUUAAUUUCUAUUUUAUUUCUAACCACCACGACCAGUGAUAAUAAUCCUCAUCAAGAUACCUAGGAUAAAAAUUAAUAUUUAACGCCUAGGACGCGCGUUUCGUUACAAAAGACUCAUCAGUUACGCUCGAAUCAAAAAAUGUAUAAAAGGUCAAAUAAAUACGAAGUUGAAGAGAUUUGAGGACCAAAUAUACACAUGAACAAUAAUUGGCUGAUUCCGAAACACAUGAAAUAAUAAAUUCCCCUUGUUCAGCUUUUUCUUCGAGCUGUGUUUUUGUCAAAUACCAAGUUUAUUUGUAUCACUUUUAUUUGUGCAACUACUUGACGCCAUCUUGAAAUCGAUAAACCUGCCCCAACCAGGUUGAUGUCGCAGAUAACUCGGGUAGGUUCAAAGAUCAAACUCGGGGGGGGGGGGGGGGGGUUGUUGUCAGUCGAUAAACUCGAUAGACUCUACUUAACCCAAGUUGGACGAAUGAAGUAGGCCUGGAAGAUCUGAAGUCAUAUGAAUUCUGAACCUAACCAGACAUUUU
rnacentral:lncRNA from 1 species